GGCUCCGCGGUGUGGUGAAGUACCCGCUCGGGUCGUCGUGCCGCCGCGGAUGGCUGUAACUGCUCGACAUGUGCUGCGACAAACAUUUGACUCCUGAAACAAAAAAUGUCCAUAAAACAGUUCGUCUCGCAGUCCGACCCCGCUUCUGGUCCUGAUGGAGAAGUUUUGAGUCUCCUGCGCACUUUAGCACUUGUUAUUCACCAGGAUCAACACAGUGAAGACAACUGGGAGCUUCUUCCGGUCACACAUUUCAAAAUAAGGAGGAAAAAUGAGCAUGAGAUAAACACAAAGGGACACUGAGGCUUCUCAUCAAAUGAACAGCGUGACGACACCUGCAGCAUUUCCAGGUUGGGUCCCCUGAAGUUGUGACGGACUGAUGCUGCGUACUGUCCAGAAGUUCAUUUGCAGCAUCGAUCCCAUGACUGACCACAAAAUAGAGUAUUUACUAAAAUAAAAAAUAAAUCUGAUGAA